rnacentral:rRNA from 1 species
GACGAACGCUGGCGGCGUGCCUAAUACAUGCAAGUCGAACGAGAGCGACCGGUGCUUGCACUGGUCAAUCUAGUGGCGAACGGGUGAGCAACACGUGGGUAACCUGCCCAUCAGAGGGGGAUAACAUUCGGAAACGGAUGCUAAAACCGCAUAGGUCUUCGAACCGCAUGGUUUGAAGAGGAAAAGAGGCGCAAGCUUCUGCUGAUGGAUGGACCCGCGGUGCAUUAGCUAGUUGGUGAGGUAACGGCUCACCAAGGCCGUGAUGCAUAGCCGACCUGAGAGGGUGAUCGGCCACAUUGGGACUGAGACACGGCCCAAACUCCUACGGGAGGCAGCAGUAGGGAAUCUUCCGCAAUGGACGCAAGUCUGACGGAGCAACGCCGCGUGAGUGAAGAAGGUUUUCGGAUCGUAAAACUCUGUUGUUAGAGAAGAACAAGUGCUAGAGUAACUGUUAGCGCCUUGACGGUAUCUAACCAGAAAGCCACGGCUAACUACGUG